AUGGGGGUGAAAGGAGAUGUAGGCUUGCUAUGCCAGUACCAGAAGGGUCUUUCUAGUUCUAGCAGUGACCUCCCAAGCCUGUCUGCUGCCUGGUUUGCUGUGAACAGAGGGCGCUGGCUGCAGACCCCAGAUUAUGGAGGGACCAAAGAAGGAUCCCACCCCAAGCAAACCCUAGCCCUACCACAGAAGCAGUGCCCAAGACGACACGAAGUCUUUGCUAUUGCAAGGCUCUGAGCCAAGGGCUGGAGAGUGGUGUAAGUCUCUAAGAUAGACCGUGAGUCACCAUCCACCAACCAGAAGAAAAGGUGUUCCUCAUGCUGUAAAAGGCACACUGCAACUAAUAAAUACUGUGAUCGCAUUUAGCA
rnacentral:lncRNA from 1 species